GCUUUGUUGAACUUAAGGACAUAAAAGCAUAUUAAAAAAAUCACUGAAAAGUGAUAAUUUUAAAAUUACAGGAAAGUGCCACUCGGAGGUUAAGCAAAAUUAAAUUAAAACUUGUAGCUACUUUAGUUUUUUCAAUUUAUAAAUCUAGUUUAAAUUAAACUAAAAAGAAAUAUAUCUUUUUUGUAAACAAACACAUUUAACGGCUAAACAGCUGGCUCCGGUUGGAUGAUACUGCGCAGGACGAGUGUAAUAUCCACCACCGUCUCGGAGGUAGGUGUAGAAAAGUGUUACACUUUUUUUCCUACAGCAUUUCAAAGAAACGAGUUGUACGCGUUCUACGACAGAAGUUGAGUGUAUCGUGAAAAAAAGUGUAAACACUAGAAAAACAAAGAAACAAGAAAGUGUAACACUUUUACACUUUUCUUACACUUUUCAAGAACUAGUGUUACACUUAAAACAAAGGAACAGAUAUGACGACUGUCGAAAUUAUUUGACAGGGAGAUGAAAGAAUGGCCAAAAGCGAGGUUAGGUUUAGUUUAGAUGUGUUUUGUUUAUUUCUUGCAAGGAAAACUAAAUAAAAAGAUACGCCCUGGUCUAAUGUUAGUCAAGAGAAAUAUAAUAGUACAUCAGGACAAAUUGUAACAUUAAUGGAAAAAAGUUAUUUAGAAGAAAAGUAACAUUGGAGAAACGUUCUUCAACGAAAAACAGCAACCAUUAAAUUUGUGUCCAAGAACGGCCUAUCCUUUUAUGGUUUAACAACCAAAUUAUUUACAGAAGGAAAUGACAUAUACAUACAGUGUGUCGUAUUUAAGAUGAAGACAGCCCUAUAUGUUGGCUAUUUCAAUAAAUACAGAUUUAAAGUUUUGCACAGUCAUACAGGUUGAAUGUUUACAUUUUUUAAGAUACAUACUCAGCUGAAAUUUAAAUUUAAACGCAGCCUACUGCGACUCCACAAACAGGGCAAACUUUCGAUACUUUUCUUCCCGUUACAGAUAUCGAAAAAAGUUAUUUUAAAAAGAUGUUCCAAAUAUUAUUCUAACCCCAUAUACCAGAUUUCAUAACAAAAUUCGAACUUUUAGUUUUUUUACUACUUGUAGUCAGGCUCCUAAAACCCAAAACUCAGGACCCUAAAAAACGAAUUUUAGGGUCCUGACUAGAAAUGCUGAAAAAAGCAAAAGUGCGAAUUUUGUCAUGCAAUAUGGUAUGUGGGGUUAGAAUAAGAUUUGGAAGUACUUUUUCAAAUAACUUUUUCCGAUAUCUCUACCGCGAAGCAAAAUAUAGAAAAUAAUUUACCGUUUGUAGAUUCGCAGUAGGCCGCAAUUAAAAUUUAAAUUUCAGUUGAGUAUCUUAAAAAAUGUUAAUCUGCACCUGCAACUUGUAUAACUGUGCAAAACUUCAAAUAUGUAUUUAUUUUGAUAGCCGAAAUAUAGAGCUGUCUUCAUCUUAAAUGUUUCAUUGAUUAAAUAUAAAUUUUAUUUAUUGUUAAUAAAAAUUUAAAUUUCUGGUGUAACUAUAUUUAUAUUAAAUAAUUAAUUCA